UGGGGAAUUUUGGACAAUGGGCGAAAGCCUGAUCCAGCAAUGCCGCGUGCAGGAAGAAGGCCUUCGGGUUGUAAACUGCUUUUGUACGGAACGAAACGGCCCUUUCUAAUAAAGAGGGCUAAUGACGGUACCGUAAGAAUAAGCACCGGCUAACUACGUGCCAGCAGCCGCGGUAAUACGUAGGGUGCGAGCGUUAAUCGGAAUUACUGGGCGUAAAGCGUGCGCAGGCGGUUCUAUAAGACAGAUGUGAAAUCCCCGGGCUCAACCUGGGAAUGGCAUUUGUGACUGUAGAGCUAGAGUACGGUAGAGGGGGAUGGAAUUCCGCGUGUAGCAGUGAAAUGCGUAGAUAUGCGGAGGAACACCGAUGGCGAAGGCAAUCCCCUGGACCUGUACUGACGCUCAUGCACGAAAGCGUGGGGAGCAAACA
rnacentral:rRNA from 1 species